rnacentral:rRNA from 1 species
AACCUGGUUGAUCCUGCCAGUAGUCAUAUGCUUGUCUCAAAGAUUAAGCCAUGCAUGUCUAAGUAUAAAUGGUAUACAAUGAAACUGCGAAUGGCUCAUUAAAACAGUUAUAGUUUAUUUGGUAAUCAAACUUACAUGGAUAACCGUGGUAAUUCUAGAGCUAAUACAUGCUGUUGCGCCCGACUCACGAAGGGCCGUAUUUAUUAGAUAUCAGCCAAUAAGCUUCUGCUAUUGUGGUGACUCAUAGUAACUUAAUCGGAUCGCAUGGGCUUGCCCCGCGACAAACCAUUCAAGUUUCUGCCCCAUCAUGCUUUCGAUGGUAGUGUAUUGGACUACCAUGGCUUUCACGGGUAACGGAGGAUUAGGGUUCGAUUCCGGAGAGGGAGCCUGAGAAACGGCUACCACCUCCACGGAAGGCAGCAGGCGCGUAAAUUACCCAAUCCUGAUUCAGGGAGGUAGUGACAAGAAAUAAUGGGUCGGGGUUCUGCCCCGGGACUGCAAUGAGACGAAUCUAGACCCCUUAUCGAGGACCAAUUGGAGGGCAAGUCUGGUGCCAGCAGCCGCGGUAAUUCCAGCUCCAAUAGCGUAUAU